GGGAAGGGGUGCUGGUCGAUCUUCAUCGGCUUGGCCGGCUUUGUUGGUACUUCAAAUUUGAGCCUGCCUUGUUCGAUGGCUGAUUGUAUCUGCUGUCGGAAGAUUUUGCAUUCAUUUGUAUCGUGAGAGGUGGCAUUAUGCCACUUGCAAUAUUUCAUCCUCUUUAGUUGUUCGGUCGAUGGGAUCAUAUGGUAUGGCGAGAGCUUGAUCUGUCCUUCCUGGAGGAGAAGAUCGAAAAUUUUAUCGGCCUUUGAUGUGUCGAAACCAAAUGCUUCCGGAUCCUUUUUCCCGAACGGACAUGAUAUCGGCUUUUUUCCUUUAACCCACUCUGCCAGGCCGAUUUUUUGUUUCUUCUUCGGAGUCAGCCUCCUCUAAGUACGCC
rnacentral:lncRNA from 1 species